rnacentral:rRNA from 1 species
UACGAAGGGGGCGAGCGUUGUCCGGAUUUAUUGGGCGUAAAGAGCUCGUAGGCGGUUCGGUAAGUCGGGUGUGAAACCUCCAGGCUCAACCUGGAGAUGCCACCUGAUACUGCUGUGACUCGAGUCCGGUAGGGGAGCGUGGAAUUCCUGGUGUAGCGGUGAAAUGCGCAGAUAUCAGGAGGAACACCAGCGGCGAAGGCGGCGCUCUGGGCCGGAACUGACGCUGAGGAGCGAAAGCGUGGGUAGCAAACAGG